rnacentral:lncRNA from 1 species
UAGUUUGUAUAUUUUUCCUUUCAGUGCUUUAAAUAUCUCUUGCCAUUCCCUCCUGGCCUGUAGAAUUUCUGUAGAGAAAUCAGCUGAUAGCCUUAUGGGGGUUCCCUUAUAAUUGAUACUUUGCUUUUCUCUUGCUGCCUUUAGGAUCCUCUCUUUAUCAUUAACUUUUGCCAUUUUUAUUAUAUUGUGUCUUGGUGUGGGUCUAUUUGGGUUCAACUUGUUUGGGGCCCUCUUGCUUCCUGUAUCUUGAAAUCAGUAUCCUUUAGAUUUGGGAAGUUUCCAGCGAUAAUUUCUUCAAAUAUAUUUUCAAUCCCCUUACCUUUUUCUUCUCCUUUUGGAAUUCCUAUUAUGCAGAUAUUGGCCCACUUUAUAUUAUCCCAUAUGUCUCUUAUAUUGCUUUCAUGUUUUUUCAUUUGGUUUUCUGUCUGCUGUCCUGUUUGGGUGAUUUCCAUUAUUCUAUCUUCUGCAUCACUAAAUCGUUCUUCUUCAUCAUUCAUUCUGGUUUUUACUGCCCUUAGCUCAGUCUGUAUCUCUGCAAAUGAAUUUUCUAGUUUUUCUUGGCUCCUCCUUAUAUUUUCUAGGUCCUUUCUGAGGGAGUCUGCAUUACUGCUCAUAUCUUCUCUUAAUUCCUUCAGUAUUUUCACUAUUUCCCUUUUGAACUCCAAGUCUGUCAGACUGCAGAGUUCUGUUUCACUGUAGACUGCUUUAGGUGAGUUCUCCUGUUGGUUUAACUGGGAAUGGUUUCUCAGCUUCUUCAUCUUGCUCGUUAUUUUCUUUUUCAUGGUGGAGGUAUACUCCUCGUGGCUGGGCAGGGUUUUCCCUGACACCCUGUGGAGUGUUUCCUGAGGGCUGGCAGUGUUGGCUGGUCUUCUUUGAGGCAGUCGGGCAUUUUCUGAGAGUGGUCAGGGCUAGCAGGGUCACUCUGGAGCAAAGGAGGACUUCCCAAGGGCAGGCGGGAUGGGCAGGUCUGCACUGUGAUGGAGGCAGGCUUCCUGUGGCUGGGCAGAGUUUCCCCUGGUGUUUAUGAGCUGUGGAGCUCUUCCAGGAGCAGGCAGUGCUGGUCAGCUGCUCUGUGGUAGUGCAGUGCCUCCUGAGGGCAGGAGAGGCUAGCUGGGCUGCUGGGAGGCAAGAAGUGCUUCCCCAGGACAGGCGGGACUGGCAGGACUGCCCUGUGAUGAAGGCAGACUUCUUGUGGCUGGGCAGGUCUUGCCCCAGUGCUUCUGGGCCAUAGAGCUCUUCCAGGGGGCAGGCGGUGCUGGGCAGCUGCUCUGUGGGAGUGCAGCACCUCCUGAGGGAGGGAGCAGCUAGCCAGGCCACUGGGAGAUAAUGAAGGGCUUCCCCAGGGCAGCCCGAACUGGCAGGACUGCCCCACGAUGGAGGCAGACUUCUGGUGGCCAAGCAGCACUUGCUCUGGCAGAACACAAGAUGUUAAUGGGCUCUUCUUAACCUUGUUAAGGUUGAAAAAGUUUGUUGUAGCAAUAAACAAACCAGAUGUGUUUGGGAAGCAGCAAAGCAAUGCAUUUAAAAGUUGGGAUCCUAUCUUUCUACUUUUAAAGUCCCUCAAAAGCUAACAAAAGCAAUCAAAUCCUUAAGGUAACCUGGGACACAAAGCACCAUCAUCGAACAACUCCCUUUGCUCUCUUUCCUUCAGCCACACUCUUUUCCUUGAAACACCAGCAUAAAUUUUAUCUCAAGGUGUGUAUGUUUGCUAUUUCCUCCAGGGGAAGUUUUCUUCCCUAGCAUAACCCCUGGCCAGCUUCCCAACUUCAAUUAGGGUUCUGCUUAAAAUUGCCCCUCCUCACAGAGACCUCCUUCCAGAUCACCUUGUCUAAACCAGCACUGCUAUUCACUCCUAUCCUUUCAUUGUACUUACUUUUCUUCAGUGCAUUUAUCAAUAAUUGCCAUUACUUUACAAUGUUUAUUAAUAGUCAGCUCCUUGAGAAUGUAAGCUCCAUGAGGCUGAGGAUUUUGUCAGGUUUGUUUAAUACUAUGUUUCCAGCGCCUAAAGCUUUUCUUCACAAAAUGAAAGUACUCAAUGCAGUUUCUCAGUAAACAACUGAGUUAUUCAUUAUUUAUUUUAUUGACCUUCUUGAUAUAAGAUAAAAUAAUUUUUUUAAAAGAAGUUUUGUGUAUCUUCAAAGUCAGAAGAUAAAAGUCAGUUGAGGAAUAAACAUAUAGAAGUGAAGUUCUCACUUUGAUGGGGGGAUGAUACAGGUUUCAUAUGGAAGAGGAAAGUUGCAAAAUUUAUUUUGUAAAACUUUUACUUUGAUGGGUAGUAGUAAUGAAGCACUUAUGCUGUUAAGAACUACUCAGGCUUAAGUUUUUGAACUUUUACAUAAGUAAAGCAAAUUUAACGUUCAACCAUAGUGGGUAAAUCAUUCACAAAAAUACAUGAAAGUCUGCACAUUAUUUCCACAUAACAUAUAUCUCACAUCAUUUUCAGACAAUAAAACUUCAUUCUGGGUAUUAUAUAUUUUUAAUGAUUUAUUAUUAAAUCAGAGAAUGAGGGAGAAAUGUCCACCAUCUUCUAAAAUAAUAUCUUUAUGAAUUCUACAAAGAUAUUGUCAAUAUUUCCCUGAGAUCAUUAGGACUCUUUAUGGUAAAUACAUAUCUUUCAUUAUGUCUCUAAGUAGGGACACUGCUUAGCCUCACGAUUUUUAGAAACUAAAACAAAAAAAAAAGUUAAGUCAAUAGAAAAUAUAUGAAAUACAUUUUUGUAAAUUGAGCUUACAUUUUUAAUAACACAUUUUAAAUCACAUUUGGUAUCCAGCAAUUUUAGUGAAGCUGUAUAUUCUUAUGCAGAUUAUGUAAAAAUGCUGCUUGCAUAACAUUCUGGGAAAGAGAUUUAGAAAGUGUUAUCUUCUAAAGAUCAUUUAAAUAUAAGACUAUAGAGCAAUUAUCCAUGGAUGUUUAAAACAUCAGAUGGUGGAAAAAUCACCUCAUCUUGUUCAAUGGGAGCAAUCUGGAGGCAUGCAGUGUGUAUUGUAAUUGUUUUAUUAUAUUUUGUUGAGGAGAAAAUGCUUGUCAAAAUUUGAUUACCUGCCUCAACCUAUAUAAGCAGUUAUCAAGAAAAAAAAUACACCUUGGCAAAUGCUGCCUAUUAGUCAAAGAAGUGCUUACAUUCAGUUUGUAUAUGAUGUUUGAAGACAAUUUAAAUUUAGAAUCUUGGAUAUUCUUGACAUACUUUUUAAGAUUCAAAGAUUACAUGAAAGAAGACUUAAGAAACUCAUGUUGCCUCCAUGAAACAGCUGAACAUCAGACUUAAGAAAGAAAAGGGAAAAAUAAAUUUUUAUUCUCAAGCUGCUCUACCUUCAAAAUAACUUACAAACACAAAAUGGAAAUUCUGGCAAUAUUUUACUCUUUGCAGACCAACCAAAUACAUCAGAAUAGCAAAAAAGAAGGAUGAAGGAAGACAGGAAGGAAGUAUGGUAGAAGGAAGGAAAGAAGAAACCUACUUUCUGAAAAUGAAAAACCUUUCCUUUUUAGAAUAUAUUCACAAUUCAGCUUUGGAUUCUGCUCACUGCCUUUAGCCCCUCUAAAUUAAUCUAGAAUGACUGUGAAAAUGCAUUCCCAGAGGUUGGAAAAGGCCACUGCAAAAUAUAUUCAUUCAGCAAAUACUUGGAUGCCUACCUGGUGCUUGGCAUCCCUCUCAGGAAUUACACAGUUAAAGGGUUUCACUUUUUGAUGUUUCAUCUUAUUUUUCCAACUUCAUGACUUCUCUUAUUUCCAUUUGAUUCUGUUUUUCUUUUUAUAUCAUUGUCCUAACUGACACAGAAAUUAAGACUUAAUAUCUUGAUUUGUCAUCACCAAUCUUGAUGAAAAUAAUGACUAGAUUGACUUAUUUUUAAGCUUCUGCCUGACAGGAAAAUGUUUCGAAAUGCAUACAAUUUUCAUAAAUGUUACCGUUUUCCUGUUCUUCUAUUAGACCUGGAAAAACAUAUGUGUUCACUAAAUCCUGAGGCUAGGAACACAGCAGUCUUACAUGUUCUCUACUAUUUUAAAAGGAGGUUUAAGAACAGUCAUCUGCUUGGAAGGGGAGGCUAGGGGAUUUGCCUCUAACUACAGUUGUCUUCUAUCAAGUGACUAUGCAUGGAACAUAUAGUACUAGAACUACUUUAUAUAAAUAUAAUAUUUAUUACAGAAAUUUUAGCCAAGAAUAAAACUAAGUAAUUUUCUGAUGGAUUACAGAGAAAGAAGGAGAGGAUGAUUCUAAGUUAAGGGAGUGGUUGUCUAAAAGGAUGGAGUUGCCAUUAACAGUAUUAAAGAAGACAGCAUCAAGAUUGGUGGGGCAUUUGUUUUAAAUAUGUCAAGUCUGAGUUACCUAUUUAGAGCUCCAAAUAGAAUUGAAAAGUAGGUAGCUAUGUAUACAAAUCUGGAAUUAACAGAAGAUACUCAGGUUUUUGGUAAAAAGUAAGGUCUCAUAACAUGUAUGACAUUAAAAUUUAUGAAAGAGGAUCACCACAAAGAGAAUGCAAUAAAAAUGGUAGCUGGACCACUCAACUUAAUAUGGUGGGGAACUGAAGAGAAAGCAGCAUAAGAAGGAGAUUAAGUGGUUAAUGUGAUAGGAGGAAAGACAGGAGGUUGUGAUAUCCAAAGAAUCAAGUGAAAACUGCAUAAAGAAGUAAAGUGGGCUCCACUGUGUAAAAUACUGCUAAGUAGGUCAGAUGGAACUUAGGACCCAUCACUGGUUUUUGAAAUGUGGAGUUUGGGUAACCUUGCCAAGAAUAUUUAUAUGUGUUUAUGGAUAAAAUCUUGAUUCAAGUGAGCUUGAAAAGAAGAAAUAGAAAUUUUAAAUCACCAAGUAUGAGACAAUUCUUUGUAGAACGUUACACUAAAUGGAGGUUGAGAAGAAACGACAGUCAUUUCCAAUCUGUUCUUUCUCUGCAAAUAAGAAUCACUAAGAGCUGUUUUCUGGCCAUGAUAGUCUAUAAUAAAUUUAAAAUAUGUCUAGGAAUAAUAUGCUACAUUUUUACUACUGGAACUCACUAUAUCUUUUAAUAUAAAAAUUAUAUUUUUCUGAAACAAAUGUGACUAUUUCAUUUGGGGUUUAUGUUAAGUACAGCAUUCAAAGACAAAUUCUUUUC